AGUUCUGUGGCUUAGUGGUUAGAGUACUUGCCUCCCAAGCAAGAGGGCCUGGGUUCGAUUCCCGGGCAGGGUGA